UACAGAGGGUGCAAGCGUUGCUCGGAAUCAUUGGGCGUAAAGGGCAAGUAGGUGGUCUCAUUUGUCUUGUGUGAAAUCCUUGGGCUUAACCCAAGAAGUGCGCAAGAAACGGUGAGACUCGAGUUCUGGAGAGGGUCGUGGAAUUCCCGGUGUAGCGGUGAAAUGCGUAGAGAUCGGGAGGAACACCAGAGGCGAAGGCGGCGACCUGGACAGAUACUGACACUCAACUGCGAAAGCGUGGGGAGCAAACAGG
rnacentral:rRNA from 1 species